rnacentral:lncRNA from 1 species
CUUAUCAACUAUUAGAGUUUGAAGGAAUUGAGGUGCCUAAUGCUUCCAGCUUCUGUACCAGUGCGCUUAAUACUGUUAGCAGAUUUCACAGCAUGCAAAAUGUAAUUCUGCAGACUUAAAAUAAGCCUAUCCCAAUGCAAGUCUCAAACAUUAGAGGGUGUCAUCUGACUGCGGGUUUUUAUAAGCUAAAUGUUGAUUCUGCAGGUCCGUCAGGUCAGGGAAAGUGGGGCCUAGCUACGGUGAUUCAAGAUGCAGAUGGUUUGGUAUCAGCUGUGGGUUGUUGGUGUUUACCAAUAUUGCCCUACUCUAAUGUUGCAGAAGCGUUUGAAAAAGUUUGGCGUUUGCAAGGGAUUUGUUAUUUUUAUCUCUUCAGGCAGGAUCUGACAAUAGUAACAUGAUUGCGGCACUCACAAACAAGCAACAGGUCUCAGCCUACUGG